rnacentral:lncRNA from 1 species
AUCAAAAAUCUCACAUUUUCAUCACUUUCUUCCAUUUUUCGAAAUCCAUUCAAACCACCCUCAAACUUCAAUUUUCUUCACCCAAAUCACUCCAAACACCUCCUAAGCUUGAAUCCACAAGAAAAACGAAGAAAACCCAUCAACAAAAGCUUACACAAGGUUCAAAAAUAUACAAAAGUUUUGAUGAAGUUUUGAUGUUGUUGUUUCAAGCAAAAUUUCAAGCAACC